UUCCGUAGGGGAACCUGCGGAGGGAUCAUU
rnacentral:rRNA from 1 species